GCAGCAGGCGCGAAACCUUUACACUGCGCGACAGCGCGAUAAGGGGACUCCAAGUGCUAGGGCAUAUCGUCCUAGCUUUUCUGUACCGUAAGGUGGUACAGGAAUAAGUGCUGGGCAAGACCGGUGCCAGCCGCCGCGGUAAUACCGGCAGCACAAGUGAUGACCGCUCUUAUUGGGCCUAAAGCGUCCGUAGCUGGCCUCGCAAGUCCAUCGGGAAAUCCGCACGCUUAACGUGCGGGCGUCCGGUGGAAACUGCGUGGCUUGGGACCGGAAGAUCCAGAGGGUACGUCUGGGGUAGGAGUGAAAUCCUGUAAUCCUGGACGGACCACCGGUGGCGAAAGCGCCUCGGGAAGACGGAUCCGACGGUGAGGGACGAAAGCUCGGGUCACGAACCGGAUUAGAUACCCGGGUAGUCCGAGCUGUAAACGAUGUCUGCUAGGUGUGACACAGGCUACGAGCCUGUGUUGUGCCGUAGGGAAGCCGUGAAGCAGACCGCCUGGGAAGUACGUCCGCAAGGAUGAAACUUAAAGGAAUUGGCGGGGGAGCACUACAACCGGAGGAGCCUGCGGUUUAAUUGGAGUCAACGCCGG
rnacentral:rRNA from 1 species